ACCAUCCAAUCCGUUGAGCACCUUAAGUCUCUCUUUCAACUUAUUGAGCCCUUCCGAUUCAAUGGGAUUUGUCGUGAAAGUUUCCUUCUUCAACCGUCUUCCGUUCUUGAGAAUAUAUGUAGCUAUUUCUUUCUCUUCUUCUCUUCCCCAAUCCAAUCUUCUCCACACAAAUGUC
rnacentral:sRNA from 1 species